rnacentral:misc_RNA from 1 species
GAUGAAGAACGUAGCGAAAUGCGAUACUUGGUGUGAAUUGCAGAAUCCCGUGAACCAUCGAGUCUUUGAACGCAAGUUGCGCCCGAAGCCAUUAGGCCGAGGGCACGCCUGCCUGGGCGUCACACGUCGUUGCCCCCCCAUCUACUCCUUCGGGAUUGCGGGGGGCGGAUGAUGGCCUCCCGUGCGCCUCGUCGCGCGGUUGGCAUAAAUGCCAAGUCCUCGGCGACGCACGCCACGACAAUCGGUGGUUGCGAAACCUCGGUUGCCCGUCGUGUGCGGUCGUCGCGCAUCGAGGGCUCGAAAAAAUUGCCGGGCUCCGGCUCGGCUUUCAACGCGACCCCAGGUCAGGCGGGGUUACCCGCUGAAUUUAAGCAUAUCAAAAGCGGAGG